GACGAACGCUGGCGGCGUGCCUAACACAUGCAAGUCGAGCGAUGAAACCCUUCGGGGUGGAUUAGCGGCGGACGGGUGAGUAACACGUGGGUAACCUGCCUCAAAGAGGGGGAUAGCCUCCCGAAAGGGAGAUUAAUACCGCAUAACAUUAGUUUUUCGCAUGAAGAGCUAAUUAAAGGAGUAAUCCGCUUUGAGAUGGACCCGCGGCGCAUUAGCUAGUUGGUGAGGUAAAGGCUCACCAAGGCGACGAUGCGUAGCCGACCUGAGAGGGUGAUCGACCACAUUGGAACUGAGACACGGUCCAGAAUCCUACGGGAGGCAGCAGUGGGGAAUAUUGCACAAUGGGCGAAAGCCUGAUGCAGCAACGCCGCGUGAGUGAUGAAGGCCUUCGGGUUGUAAAGCUCUGUCUUUUGGGACGAUAAUGACGGUACCAAAGGAGGAAGCCACGGCUAACUACGUGCCAGCCGCCGCCGUAAGAC
rnacentral:rRNA from 1 species